AAGUCGUAACAAGGUUUCCGUAGGUGAACCUGCGGAAGGAUCAUUAACACGUAUCCAACGUUAAAACCCCCCCGUGAACCUAGAAAGUAGCAAUCCCUGGUAAAUCAUCGCCGAACAGUUUUGAUUCAGGGACUUCUGCGAAGAGUGUGCUUGUAGCGCGAGGCAAGUGGCCUGGCAUCCUUGUCUGAAAGUGUCAAGGGUGGCGCAGUCACGAUCGCUAGAGGCCGACACGGCCGGCGACCGGGUCACCGGGCUCACGCCCCUUAAUAACCUUUGCAUGAAAACGGGCCUGCGCUUAAUUGUGCGGCCAUAAACCGAACAACUGUUAACAAUGGAUAUCUUGGUUCUC
rnacentral:misc_RNA from 1 species